AGAAUUUGAAAUCGACCUCAGAGGCAGCCAGAGGCGAGUGAAGUCGAUGGAGCUGCUGCCAAAAAAGAGGCCUGCGACUGAAGCCAGCGUGGGUGAGUUAAUCUAAGCCUGGAUUUAUGGCAGCGGAGAUGGCACGUGGCCUGCGACGUCCACACUACUGCUCUGCAAAGAAGGUCCGGGACACUGAGAGAAUGCAGCUGGGAACUGACACAAGCAACCCUGCCAAGGAGCAAGGUAAACCACUGAGCUCAUCACCACGAGCUAUACAGCUACAGGAAAGCAGAUAAUGAGUGGAAUUUGGGGGAAUCUAAAACAGGAAAAAAAAAAUCCCCAAAUUGGGAGCCAGUGAAACCUAAAUGUGGGUAAUUUUCAUACGUCUAUACUGCAAAACAAGUCCUGAUGACUCUAUGUGCAACCCUUUCUGUUUGAUGCCAUUUCUAUUCAGUCUUCACUAUUAACACAGUAUAUGUCACUGAAUGGCCAUGAAUAUAUUAGAAGGACUCUAGCUAAUAACUACACACCUACCACUUUUAGAACCCGGCCAUGGCAGUUUUGCAAUAGCUCUGGCAUUUACCUAAUAAACCCCAACUCAUUGUCUACUUUGGUAAAUACUACGCAGCUUCUCUAGUAAACCACGCGUGCGGUACAUUAAA